rnacentral:antisense_RNA from 1 species
CUUCACCGAACCCAACCACAGCGGACGAUCCCCACCACGACCCUGCCCAUACGCCGCUAUCAGCGCCUGAGCCUC